rnacentral:rRNA from 1 species
UUUUUGAAAAUAAUUUAAAGUNUAAUCUGCCCACUGAUAUAUAAUAUUAAAGGGCUGCAGUAUAUUGACUGUACAAAGGUAGCAUAAUCAUUAGUCUUUUAAUUGAAGACUUGUAUGAAAGAUUUAAUGAAAUAUAAGCUGUCUCUUAUUUAUAAUUAGAAUUUAAUUUUUUAGUUAAAAAGCUAAAAUUAAUUUAAAAGACGAGAAGACCCUAUAGAGUUUAAUAAUUAAAUUAUUUAAGAUUUUAUAUAUAAAUUAUAAUUAAAAAAAAUUUAAUUAUUUUAUUGGGGUGAUAGAAAAAUUAAAUAAACUUUUUUUUUAUAAUUACAUGAAUAAGUGAAUUUAUGAUCCAUUAUUAAUGAUUAAAAGAUAAAAUUACCUUAGGGAUAACAGCGUAAUUUUUUUUUUUAGUUCGUAUAAAAAAAANAGAUUGCGACCUCGAUGUUGGAUUAAGAUAAAAUAUAAAUGCAAAAGUUUAAAAUUUUGAUCUGUUCGAUCAUUAAAAUCUUACAUGAUCUGA